rnacentral:rRNA from 3 species
UGCCUGGUAAAAAUAGUGUAGUGGUACCACCUGAAUCCAUUCCGAACUCAGAAGUGAAACGCUACAACGCCAAUGGUAGUACGGGGUCUCCCCGUGUGAGAGUAGGUAUCAGCCAGGCAA